GGAUGUGAGGGCGAUCUGGCUGCGACAUCUGUCACCCCAUUGAUCGCCAGGGUUGAUUCGGCUGAUCUGGCUGGCUAGGCGGGUGUCCCUUCCUCCCUCACCACCCCAUGUGUGUCCCUCCUGAAGCUGAGAGCUCGGUUGAAGAGGACAACCUUCCCUGAAUAGAGGAGGACAGUCAAGGGUAUACGAGUAGCUGCGCUCCCCUGCUAGAACCUCCAAACAAGCUCUCAUAUUGCUUUUGUCUUCCUGACCAUGAGCUGAGGAGGAAACACACUCAACAUCAGGGUCAUGAGCUGGUGUGCAUCCAUCAGGCAUUU
ensembl:misc_RNA 7SK 7SK RNA